GUAGGGAAUUUUUCACAAUGGGCGCAAGCCUUAUGAAGCAAUGCCGCGUGAACGAUGAAGGUCUUAUAGAUUGUAAAGUUCUUUUAUAUGGGAAGAAACGCUAAAAUAGGAAAUGAUUUUAGUUUGACUGUACCAUUUGAAUAAGUAUCGGCUAACUAUGUGCCAGCAGCCGCGGUAAUACAUAGGAUGCAAGCGUUAUCCGGAUUUACUGGGCGUAAAACGAGCGCAGGCGGGUUUGUAAGUUUGGUAUUAAAUCUAGAUGCUUAACGUCUAGCUGUAUCAAAAACUGUAAACCUAGAGUGUAGUAGGGAGUUGGGGAACUCCAUGUGGAGCGGUAAAAUGCGUAGAUAUAUGGAAGAACACCGGUGGCGAAGGCGCCAACUUGGACUAUCACUGACGCUUAGGCUCGAAAGUGUGGGGAGCAAAUAGGAUUAGAUACCCUAGUAGUCC
rnacentral:rRNA from 1 species